UACGGAGGGUGCAAGCGUUAUCCGGAUUCACUGGGUUUAAAGGGUGCGUAGGUGGGUUGGUAAGUCAGUGGUGAAAUCUCUGGGCUUAACCCAGAAAUUGCCAUUGAUACUGUAGGGCUUGAGUACAGUUGCUGUGGGCGGAAUAUGACAUGUAGUGGUGAAAUACAUAGAGAUGUCAUAGAACACCGAUUGCGAAGGCAGCUCACAAAACUGUAACUGACACUGAGGCUCGAAAGUGCGGGGAUCAAACAGG
rnacentral:rRNA from 1 species